rnacentral:lncRNA from 1 species
CCCCGUCUUCUCCCGGAUCUCCUUCGGCGGCGGCGGCGGCUCCGACACCACGGGGCAGCUGGCGGAGGCGCUCCUCUACUACGCGACCACCUCGGCGGUGCCGCAACAGUCGCGGGCGGAGAUACGUCUGACCCUCGACGUGCUCCGCCGGCGCGGGCCCUGCAACUUCCUGGUCUUCGGCCUGGGACGGGACUCCCGGAUGUGGGCGGCCAUGAACGCGGGCGGCACCACGUUGUUCCUGGAGGAGGAUCCCGAGUGGUACGAGUUGGUGCUCAAGACCUCCCCUAUGCUGCGGGCGCACCACGUCAAGUACCGGACGCGGCUGGACGAGGCGGACAAGCUGCUGCGGGGGUAUCGGAAGGAGGCGGCGUGCCGGCCGG